rnacentral:rRNA from 1 species
AUUGAACGCUGGCGGCAGGCCUAACACAUGCAAGUCGAGCGAGUGGCGGACGGGUGAGUAAUGUCUGGGAAACUGCCUGAUGGAGGGGGAUAACUACUGGAAACGGUAGCUAAUACCGCAUACCAUCAGAUGUGCCCAGAUGGGAUUAGCUUGUGGGUGGGGUAAUGGCUCACCAAGGCGGCGAUCCCUAGCUGGUCUGAGAGGAUGACCAGCCACACUAGAACUGAGACACGGUCCAGAAUCCUACGGAAGGCAGCAGUGGGGAAUAUUGCAAAAGGGGCGCAAGCCUGAUGCAGCCAUGCCGCGUGUGUGAAGAAGGCCUUCGGGUUGUAAAGCACUUUCAGCGGGGAGGCGUUACUCGCAGAAGAAGCACCGGCUAACUCCGUGCCAGCCGCCGCGGUAAUAC